UGCGAUGAGUCGAGAAAAGACCAGAUGGUGACUAGUUCAUCAUUUCGCUGCGGCGGCAAGUGGUUUACUUUUCGAUGCAGGACACAUAUUCUAGCGUAUUCUAGAGUGCCUACUACUGUAUAUUGUGGAAUAU
rnacentral:ncRNA from 12 species